UGAUAUUACAUCUUGAAACUGUGUGUGCUAGUGAGUCGAUCCAGGGACUAGCACUAAACCACAGAGAUCGAACCCGUGUACGGGGGAGGUUGCUUCACAACCACCAUUGGAGAUGCCCUUAUAUUGAGUUUCCUGAGCACUGGACUUGGCAUUCCAACAAAGAUACAAAAUAUUGGGAUGUGCGUAAAGGUUCCGAAAGAAAAAUUGGCCGUGUAGCUAAUGUCUGCCCUGCACAAGGAGAGCUUUUUUACCUUCGCAUGUUGCUCUAUGUUGUCAAGGGUUCAAAGUCCUUUGCUGAAAUCCGCACUAUAGGGAACCACGAAUGCCCAACCUACCGUGCAGCCUGUGAAUCUUUAGGCCUUCUUGGGGAUGAUCAAGAAUGGUCCCGUGCUCUCACAGAUGCAGCGCCAUGGGCUACUGCUCCUCAGCUACGACAACGUUUUGUCACAAUGCUUCUAUUCUGUGAGUUACAAAUCCAAAGAGGCUUUUCGAUGAACAUGUCUCAUCCAUGAGCGAAGACAGUACAUAUAGAAUAAAUCAGAACCCUCUGCUGAGAGCCAAUUCAUCUCCACAAAUUGUUGUCUCUUUUCUCCUCUUUGAAUUGGAUAAAUUGCUUAGAGACGUUGGGUAUUCUCUGUCACAUUUCAAUUUACUACUACCAGAUGAUAUUGGCAGUUCUUCCACGGAAAAUAGGUUGUUGUUAGAUGAAAUAAGCUAUGAUGCUACUCAUCUGUCUACAUCAGUAUCCGAGGAUAUUCUAGACUUAAUAGCAGUCAGAAAAGUGUCUUUGAUGCUAUUUCUGCAUCUGUCCUAAAUACAUCAGGCCGAACAUUCUUUGUGUAUGGGUACGGAGGAACUGGGAAAACCUUUUUAUGGACAACAUUCCUCAACUUUGUAAGAAGCCAAGGGAAAAUAGCUUUGGCGAUUGCAUCCUCUGGAAUUGCAUCGCUCUUACUUCCAGGUGGUAGAACACCCCAUUCACGCUUUAAAAUUCCGUUGGAAAUCCGUCAAAAUUCUAUGUGCAAUGUUAAGAAAAAUACAAACUUGGUUGAACUUAUCCAGAAGACAUCGCUAAUUAUAUGGGAUGAAGCGCCUGUUAAUCACAGAUAUUGUUUUGAGGCACUUGACCGCACACUUAGAGAUAUGCUGUCAGAUAUUAGACCAGACUCACAGAACAAACAAUUUGGUGGCAUAACUGUUGUCCUUAGCGGAGAUUUUCGGCAAACUCUUCCAAUUAUCCCAAAUGCAAAAAAGGGUCAUAUUUUGAAGGCUUGCAUUGUUAAUUCUUAUAUAUGGCGUGAGUGUACAGUUCUCCACUUGACCGAAAAUAUGAGGCUUGCUUCACGAUCUCUCUCACCCUCCGAUAGAGAGAACCUCAGGAUAUUUGCUGAAUGGCUGUUAAGAGUAGGGGAUGGUACAGAACCUUACAUUGCAAUUGAAAAUGAGCCUGAAAAUGCAUUCAUACAGAUCCCCCAAUCUCUACUCCUCCCAUCCCAUUGUAGAAAUCUCGAUGGCUUGAUUUCCUUUGUAUAUAACUCUAGACAUCAACAAGAAAAUGCAGCUUCGUACUAUUGUGACCGUGCCAUUUUAGCUCCCACAAAUGAGGUUGUUUCCCAGAUAAAUACCAGAAUGGUUUCUGAACUUGAAGCAAGUGAGAUGUCAUAUUACAGUGCAGACACUAUUGAUGAUGCUUCUUCCAACCAUUCAACUUUAGAAGCAUUAUAUCCCCCUGAAUUUCUGAAUACAAUUUCAAUGAACGGGCUUCCGGAUCAUGUCUUGCAUCUGAAAAUAGGAGUGCCCAUAAUGAUUUUGCGUAACCUUGACCCCUCCCGUGGUCUUUGUAAUGGGACUAGGCUCAUAGUUACACAGCUUACUAAACGUAUAAUUGAAGGAGAAAUAAUUACUGGAAAGGCUAAAGGUACGAGGGUGUAUAUCCCACGCAUUGUCACCACUUCUGCUCAAUCUAGAUGGCCCUUCAAACUGAAACGCAGGCAGUUCCCUGUACGGCUUUCAUAUGCUAUGACAAUAAAUAAAAGUCAAGAGCAAACUCUCAAUAGAGUCGGUGUUUAUUUACCAACCCCAGUUUUCUCUCAUGGACAAUUAUAUGUCGCUUUCUCACGGGUAACAUCCCCCAAUGGCUUGCGUGUGCUUAUUGAAAAUAGUCCUUCAUCACAUGCCAACUGCACUCAUAAUGUAGUGUACCAUGAUGUUUUCAGUCAAAUAAAUAAACAACCACAUUAAAUCAGAAAGGUAUCUUGGGCACUAUCUUUGUUUUCACUAGCAGAGUGGCAUGCGCAUCUGCGCAGGUAACGCUUUUGACGUUUCUUAAAUAUUUUAAAAAUAAUUUAUGCUUAAUAGAGCAUCGAAACAUUACUCACCUAAGAGCCAAUCGGCUAUUUUUACUCAUAACAUACUAUUUUAAAAGAAAAAUAUGUUAAUAGGGAAUCAUUGACUAAUUUUUCAGUAUGUUGUGGUUAUUACAGAGGAUAUGUGAAUAGUUAAAUAACACACUUGAGCAAGUGGGUUCGGGGCUUUGGCUAAAGUUCACUUAGUAGUCAUGAAACAUCAUAGUUUUGGAUGUACAAUUCAGCGUACUCAAUUGAGAUUGCAAAUGCGUAUUGCUCGGAUCAUAAUUAACUGCCUCCAAAUGGAUCAAAAGAGGCUUACAAUUUUUCUAACAUGGAUUGUAGUUCUUAUAAUUGAAAAUUUAGAUCUUUUAGGAUUUGUCAGUCUUCAAGAAGAUGGUAUCUGGACCAUCAAUUUUUGUGCUGACAUGUUGCCUCAUGUAAAAAUAAUUAUAUGUAUAAAAGCAUAUUAUGAAUUAAUCUAGUAAUAGGAAUUUUAUAUUUUGGAUCUUUCCUUAGAGAAGAAAAUGUGUGUUCGGUAAAUUUCUAAAAUGAUAGGUGGGUGGUAGUAAAUGACAUCUACUUCUUUGAUAAUAGGGAAUAUUGUUUAUUUUUAAUAGCAAUUAAUGUCCCUUAAUCACCACAGUAUGUCUGAUUCAGCUUGUCCAAUAUAUAGAGUUAAAUUUUUAAAAAGGAACCAAGUGCACCCUACAUUGAGCAAUCUGAUUGGUUAAAAUUCAAUGAUUGUGAACUGUCGACUAUCCAAAUUCGUUUGGGCUGAGUCCACCGUUCAUUUUAAAUCAACUUGAAAUCUUCCAAUAAUUGCAGAAUAAAUAGCUACAAUUUCCAGCAUCUGUUUGGAAGCCAUGUAAGUAUGUGAAUUUUUUUACUUCAUUUCCCAUAUGCAUGCAUAUUCAUGCUACUUUGAUAACCCCUAAAGAAAAUAUAGAUGUUUUACCACUAAUCACUUCGAUAUUACUACCCAAAACAUCAUUAGUUGGUACUGAGUUCUUCCCUCCCUCGAUAUGACUUUUUUUAAAACAUAAACUGAGAUUCUUCCACACCAACAUAUGGAAUAUAUCCAUUGAGCAAUGACAGAUGUACAAUGAGAAUCAACAUAAAGUUCUUUUGUUCACAUGAAUCAUUUUCCAUAUGGAAUCUUCUUUAUUAUUUAUGUGGACUCAGAAUGAACUCUACAACAUAGUCGUAGCACAAAUUCAAGCCAAGGUGAACUAUGUUACCUUCUCCAUGUACUCCCUUCCCUUCAGAAAGAGAUUGGGAACUGAAAUUAGAAAGAGUUUGCAGAUAUACAUCAGCCAUGGGAUCUCCUACAAAGUUUGGAGACAUUACUGUAGGACAACAAAAUUUUAAAGUUUUCGGCCGGCCCAUACGGCUAUGGGAUGCAAAAAAUAAAUACGCCAAGACUACUGAUUCUUUUCUCAGCAUUGAUGGAGUUUCUUGCAGAAGAUGGUGCUAUGGUACAGAUAACCAUACCCAAAAAGGUUGAAAAACAAUUUCGUCCACUGCUCUCUCUGGGUUCUGUCUACAUGUUGACAGAUGUUAGUGUUGUUCAUGCUACAUACAAGAAGUUCAUUUACCACCACCAAAGCUACAUGAUUCAGUUUAAAACAAGCUCGAAGGUCCAUCUAAUGCAGUCGCGAGGAGCGAGUAUUCCUCGAUUUGCCUUUGAUUUCUCCCAGUUUGAUCAGCUUCCGUCAAAAGACAAUCAAUCCAAACCCCUUCUAGAUUUGAUUGGAGUCAUUAGCUACGUUGGCCCAUACGACUACGCUAGCCCAACGUCUCAGUACAAGCUCAGGAAGAUACAUAUCCGUAACCAAGAUGAACAAACACAGGAAAUAAACCUUUGGGGUGAGGAUGGUGAAACAUUUGACGAAAGCGCGGUCCUCAGCAAAUCAGAUGAGAAGAUUGUUGUUUGUGUUUUUGCUGGCCUGACCGUUGGAUAGUAUUUAGGUACGUUCUUAGGAAAUUACGAUUUCUAUUGCAUUAUAACUUUAUUGAUUAACCCGAAGCAUCGCAUGGAAUUAUUACUAUACAGAUAAACUUGAGGCCUCUUCAAGUUCAGCUACUAAAAUAUACAUUGACAUGGAAAUAUCAGAAGUUGAACAGUAUAAAAAAGGUUCAUCAAUACUUUUAUAACAAAUGGUUCACAUUCUUUUCCAUUAACUAACAUGCACGCAAUCAAUGGGAAGUUCCGGUUUUGCGCCAACAACAGCCACAAAUUACCCAUGUGACUCCCUUACAAGCAGCAGGCAAACUCUACAAGCUGGAAGAAAUAUCUACGCUGCCAAUUUCAUCUUUCAAGGGAGGUGCUUCAUUCAGUUGCAUUGCGAAGGUAGAAGCUUUGCUGCCAUCCAAUAAAUGGUAUUACAAAGUCUGCAAAAGUUGUGGUGAAGGGUACAACAACAAUUCGAACACAACCAGAUGCUCAUGUCCUCUUUUAGACCCCAAACCAAUGUAUCAUCUCACUUACUAACCUAUUUAUACAUCAUUAUUCUAUUUAUGAAAUUCCUAUGCACCUAUUGCCCAUCGUAUUAUUCUUAUAUAGGUACAAGUUUUCUCUCAAGGUCACGGAUGACAUAGCAAGCAUGGAGACAAUUGCUUUCAGUUUUGUAGUUGAGGAUUUACUUGAGCAAACUGCUAUGCAAGCCUCCCAAAACAUGAAGAUAGAUGCAUCAGAUCAUGCAAUAGC